UGCCUACACGAAGCUCCAGCUGAGGAGGGCAGUCCUAGAGCAGCCCGACUCGGCUUCCUUGGACCAUCUCCGAGUCUCUGCUGACCAUUGCUAACAUUUGUCACUUGGCACUGUGGACCAGGAGGAUAAGGGACUUAGGCAGCAUCCUGACUACACCCACUCACCAUGACCUGUUCCAGACACACCGUGAGGGAUCCGUACUUCUGUGGAGGCAGCAGCCAGCAAAUGAAAUGCAAGUCAUUGAGGCUAAAGGCAAAGACCCAGAGCCAGGUUCCAGCCAGAGAUCCCUGUCGCAUGGUGUCAGGCAGGAUGGAACCCAGAGGGUCUCAGGACCUCUGCCAGCAGAUUCUGAUUGUUGCCUCCCAAAUCAACAGAAUGCCUUUCAUACAAGCAGACUCCGGGGAGAGCGAUGCAGACUCUCAGCAAAGCUCCAUCCACCUCAACAGACCUCAGGAGGCAUCAGCAGGGCCUGGCUUCCCUCUGCUGCCCUCGGGCAUAGUUGGCUCCCUAAUGACUACACACAACCUUUAUCAAUUUUUAAACACUCUAAACAGAAAGGCGUGAUACUCACAGAAGCUUUUGUCGCGAGAGAGCUUAAGUGACACACACCCAAGGCUCAAUUAUGAGCAGGCAGGGCAGGGCAGGGGAGGCCUGGGAUAUCUGUGGCUAUUCUGGAGUUUGUGCCUUUGGAGGACAAGGCUCCAGGAAUGGGGGUCUGUCAGCCUGGUUCCUUCCUCAGGCCUUGCUGUUCCAAGAUCAAGGACUUCAUGUGUUCCUAGUGAUCCACAGGUACAAAGUCUCCAUCGUCAGGACACGGCCUGCUGUCUUCACUCUGUCGCUAGCACACGGGUCCUGAGUGACAUUAUCUGCCCACGUCUUGUCAGGUAUGAGGCAGGAAGUGUGGUCGUUCUGAGCUUACAAUAGAUAAAGCCUUCACUGCAGAAACAGACCCAGCUUCCAUCUGUGCCCUGAUAAAUCCCUUGUUGGAGAAACCCGGACUCCUCCAUGCCCUGCUCU
rnacentral:lncRNA from 1 species